rnacentral:lncRNA from 1 species
GUACUACAGCAAGUAACAAGCAUUUCAGAUGAGACUUGGGCCCUGGCCCGCUUGUAGCCCAGGUGGUGCGGAGGUGAAGAGAUGCUGAACCGUGGGAACUGGCCAGGAGCACCCUGAUUGGCUGCCUGACUUAGGGGGCGGGGUCAAAUAACAAAAAAUCAUUUUGUUAGCUGAAAGCUAGUGUCUACCUAUGCACUAUGGUACACCAAAAAUCAUAAAGAAGAACAUUAAAGUAACCUGUAUCCUUGCAGCUCAAAGGUAAUCACAGUUAGGCACUUGGAAUAUUGUUUUACAAAAGUUGGCUGCAAUCGAUUACAUAUAAUUUUGAGUUCUGAUUUUCCACUUCCUACUUCCCAUGUCAGUGGAGGUCUUAGAAAUGUGACUUUUUUUGGUUUUGUUUUUGUUUUUGAGACAGAAUCUCACUCUGUCACCAGGCUGGAGUGCAGUGGUGCGACCUUGACUCACCGUAACCUCCGCCUCCUAGAUUCAAGCAAUUCUCCUGCUCAGCCUCCUGAGUAGCUGGGACUACAGGAACACACCACCACGCCCAGCUACUUUUUGUAUUUUUAGUAGAGAUGGGGUUUCACCAUGUUGGCCAGGACUGUCUUGAUCUCCUGACCUCGUGAUCCACCCGCCUUGGCCUCCCAAAGUGCUGGUAUUACAGGCAUGAGCCACCAUGCUUGACUCAGAAAUGUGAUUUUAAUGGCUGCAUAAUAUUUCAUCACAGGGACGUGAUAUAAUUCACCCAUUCCCCAACUCUGAACAAUUUCAAGUGUUUCUGUACUAUAACAAACACUGCUGCACACUUCCUUGUGUGUGAAUCGUUGUUUGUAUUUAUUAUUGCCACAGGUAGCCUGAGUGAUCUAUUUCUCCAGCUUGAAGUAAAAAUUAAUGUCACUUUUCCUUUGUUAUUCAUUAUUUCUGCCUAACCAUACCCUGCCAUUACUACCAGCAUCUCCCUGUGGGUGUCAAAAAGCACCCCAGAAGUUCACUCAAAGGAGUCAGUCAGGUGGAGAGAGGGAGAGAAUGCAGAGCUGAAAGCAUCCACUGGCACGAUCCUGAGAGUUGCUGGUACACAGUGUAGUCCCUGCCCUUCGAUGUCUGAACAGCUGGAAGCCUGUGUGCUGCAAUAUAGAUGCCUGUGCCCCAUCCCUUUGGGGGUCACACUGGGACCCACCUAAGUUCAGAUCACAGUUAUCUGUGUUCAAACUCAUGUUAUUCUCCAUUAAAAUCUGACUCCGGGCCGGGCGUGGUGGCUCACACCUGUAAUCUCAACACUUUUAAAGUUCAAGGAGGGAGGAUCAUUUGAGCCCAGGAGCUUGAGACCAGCCUGGGCAAUAUAGUGAGACUCCAUCUCUACAAAAAAUUAAAAAAUUAACUGGGCAUGGUGGCUCAUACCUGUAGUCCCAGCUACUUGGGAGGCUGAGGUGGGAGGAUCACUUGAGCCCAGGAGGUUGAGGCUGCAGUGAGCUGUGAUGGCACCACUGCACUCCAGCCUGGGGAAUAAAGCAAGAGCCUGUCUCAAAAAAAAAAAAAAAAA